CCUACGGGAGGCAGCAGUGAGGAAUAUUGGUCAAUGGGCGGGAGCCUGAACCAGCCAAGUCGCGUGAAGGAAGAAGGUACUUCGUAUUGUAAACUUCUUUUGUCGGGGAACAAAGUCGGAGACGCGUCUCCGGAUGAGUGUACCCUAAGAAAAAGCAUCGGCUAACUCCGUGCCAGCAGCCGCGGUAAUACGGAGGAUCCGAGCGUUAUCCGGAUUUAUUGGGUUUAAAGGGUGCGCAGGGGGGGGUUCAAGGCAGCGGUAAAAUUUUGGGGCUCAACCCAGGCCGGCCGUUGAUACUGGUUGUCUAGAGUGCGGGAGAGGUAGGCGGAAUUCGUGGUGUAGCGGUGAAAUGCAUAGAUAUCACGAAGAACUCCGAUUGCGAAGGCAGCAUACCGGCUCGAAACUGACGCUGAGGCACGAAAGCGUGGGGAUCGAACAGGAUUAGAUACCCGAGUAGUC
rnacentral:rRNA from 1 species